rnacentral:rRNA from 1 species
UGGGGAAUAUUGGACAAUGGGGGCAACCCUGAUCCAGCAAUGCCGCGUGUGUGAAGAAGGUCUUCGGAUUGUAAAGCACUUUCGACGGGGACGAUGAUGACGGUACCCGUAGAAGAAGCCCCGGCUAACUUCGUGCCAGCAGCCGCGGUAAUACGAAGGGGGCUAGCGUUGCUCGGAAUGACUGGGCGUAAAGGGCGUGUAGGCGGUUUACACAGUCAGAUGUGAAAUCCCCGGGCUUAACCUGGGAGCUGCAUUUGAUACGUGUAGACUAGAGUGUGAGAGAGGGUUGUGGAAUUCCCAGUGUAGAGGUGAAAUUCGUAGAUAUUGGGAAGAACACCGGUGGCGGAGGCG